rnacentral:rRNA from 1 species
UGAGGAAUAUUGGACAAUGGAUGGAAAUCUGAUCCAGCCAUGCCGCGUGCAGGAAGACGGCCCUAUGGGUUGUAAACUGCUUUUAUACGGGAGCAAUAAGGUCUAUGCAUAGAUUGAUGAGAGUACCGUAUGAAUAAGCAUCGGCUAACUCCGUGCCAGCAGCCGCGGUAAUACGGAGGAUGCGAGCGUUAUCCGGAUUUAUUGGGUUUAAAGGGUGCGUAGGCGGCUUUGUAAGUCAGCGGUGAAAUUUUGCAGCUUAACUGUAAAAGCGCCGUUGAUACUGUGAAGCUAGGAUUUGGUUGCUGUGGGCGGAAUGUGUGGUGUAGCGGUGAAAUGCAUAGAGAUCACACAGAAUAUCGAUUGCGAAGGCAGCUCACAAAGCCAAUAUUGACGCUGAGGCACGAAAGUGUGGGGAUCAAACA